UACGUAGGGGGCAAGCGUUGUCCGGAUUCAUUGGGCGUAAAGAGCGUGUAGGCGGCCAGGUAGGUCGGUUGUGAAAACUGGAGGCUCAACCUUCAGAGGUCGACCGAAACCAUCUGGCUAGAGUCCGGGAGAGGAGAGUGGAAUUCCUGGUGUAGCGGUGAAAUGCGCAGAUAUCAGGAAGAACACCCGUGGCGAAAGCGGCGCUCUGGAACGGUACUGACGCUGAGACGCGAAAGCGUGGGGAGCGAACAGG
rnacentral:rRNA from 1 species